AGCAGCCGCGGUAAUUCCAGCUCCAAUAGCGUAUAUUAAAGUUGUUGCAGCUAAAAAGCUCGUAGUUGAACUUCAGGCCUGGCUGGACGGUCCGCCCUCUGGGUGAGCACUGUCUGUGGUCGGGUCCUACCUUCUGGCGAAGCGGCAUGGCCUUAACCGGCCGUGGCGGGGAACCAGGACUUUUACUGUGAAAAAAUUAGAGUGUUCAAAGCAGGCACGCGCUUGAAUACAUUAGCAUGGAAUAAUGGAAUAGGACAAUGGUUCUAUUUGUUGGUUUCUAGGACCGUUGUAAUGAUUAAUAGGGAUAGUUGGGGGCAUUAGUAUUCAAUUGUCAGAGGUGAAAUUCUUGGAUUUAUUGAAGACUAACUACUGCGAAAGCAUUUGCCAAGGAUGUUUUCAUUAAUCAAGAACGAAAGUUAGGGGAUCGAAGACGAUCAGAUACCGUCGUAGUCUUAACCAUAAACUAUGCCGACUAGGAAUCGGGCGAUGUUGACAAAAUGACGCGCUCGGCA
rnacentral:rRNA from 1 species